UUUCUGUAGACCUUUAUAUUGUUCAACAAGAUGCUGUCAUUCACGUUCUCAAGCAAUCCUCCCUCAGCAAGCUUGUAAGAGAGACAGAAUGGAAAAUAGCCCCAUCUUACAGGUUAAGUAUACCUUCAAUUUCCAACUGGGACCCUGACUGAUGAAAGCAUCCACUAUACGCCGUGCUAAUGCAGUCUUCUUGUGAGGAAGGUAUUUUUGGACCCAGCUUACAGGUGGAAAAACUGAGUUCUCUGUGGAGGACAACUGCACAACCAUGCUACAGAUCCCACUCCAAGGCCUCCAAUCCUACAGAGUUUUCUUUUCUUUCUGAAGAUUCACCGCUUUAAAGGCCAUCAAGAAACGAGACGGGUGAAUGUGGAUAAUGAUCAAAGCUGGUUGAUCCGUACAUGGCGAAUCAUUAUAUCAUUCUCUCUAUUUCGUGUGUGUAAAAUCUCCAUAAUAAAAAGA